AUGCAGUCACUUUGGCAGCAUGUAUACCGAAGUUGGAACGAUGCAGACAUUAGCAUGGCCCCUGAGCAAGGGUGACACACAAAUUCAUGAAGCAUUCCAUAUACUU
ensembl:snRNA U6 U6 spliceosomal RNA